UAUAGAAGUCACUUCGACGAAAUAUUAUUUUUGAAAUUAGAGGAAAAAUGAGCAACAACGAAAACCGUUUCUUUUUGUUAGAUUCGUUUAUUGAAAACGGUUGGUUUUAUGUGGUUAGCAAAUCAGCCAUCUUAGUAACCGACGAAAUGGAAAUAAAAAUCGGGGAAAAAGUUCAAUUUGCGUACCCCGAAGAUGUUGUGCAGCCAAAAAUAGAAUCUGACGAAUACCUAAUAGAAGAAAUGAAUAAAAAAAUAGAGGAAAUUGAAAAGAAGGAUGUGACUAGAGAAGAGUUGAAAGAACAGGAGAAACUAGAGUACGAAGAAAAGAGGUUGAGAAUUCUGAUAGCGAUAAUGGAGAAGACCAAGAGUCAUCAUUAGCUACAACAUUGUCUGUAUCGACGGAACUUCGAAGUGAUACUGAUUUGGAAAUGGAAUCAAUGGAACAUAGAAGUUUUUCGAGCUCUUCUUUUUCCACUCACUUUUCCUUUCGGUCUUCGUCAUUGUCAUCAUCCUCAUCAUCAUCAUUAUUAAAUUCAUCAUCUUCAGCUUCUUUCCUGUCUGUAAGGUCUGCUUCUUUUUCAAAUGAAUCACUUCAAUCGACAUCGCAAUCCUCAAUUUUGACAACAAACGAUGAUAACAGCUACAGUGAUAAUAAUAUUGAAAGUGAUGACAAUGAAAAUAGUUGUCUCGAUAAAGCUAUUUAUCAAAAUGCUAAUAUCAAUGGCGGUAAUGCUUUAAAUCAUAUCUUACAAGUUUAUGUUUCGAACCGGUUGACUAAAAAAGCUUUAAAUGACAUUUUAAACUUAAUUUAUUUAUUGUUCCAAAAACAACACUUCCAAAAACGAAAUUUAAAUUCUUAAAAUUACUCGAUAAAAUUUUUCCCGACGCUGAUUCUAAUUACACAACUAAGCAUAGGAUAUGCUCAGAUUGUUACAAUUAUGUAGGAAAAUGGUUAGAUACAUUAAAUACAAGAAGUUGUCUGCGUUGUAAUAGUGGAAAUUUAAAUAGUUUCUUUUUAGAAUUCAAUAUUGAACAAGAACUACGUACUGCCUUUGAAGUGAGAGAUUUACACAUCCUAAUCGAUGCUUUUCAAACAGAGUGUUCACAAAGAAAUCAGGAAAAUAUUUCUGACUUCAUUUUUGGUUCUGAGUACCGACGAUUGAAAUCAACUGCUAUACCUGGUAAAUAUGAUUUGAGCUUAAUUUGGUUUACUGAUGGAGUUCAGAUCUCAAAAAGUGGACGAAGUCAAAUGUGGCCAAUUUAUGCUCAAAUUAUGAAUGUAGCACCAAGGUUUAGAAGGAGUUUCCAAUUUGUCUGCGGGAUAUUUUACUCAAACCGUUGCACUAAGAAACCUGAAAUGAACUCAUAUCUGCUGCCUUUUGCAUCAGCUUUACAAAACUUAUUUACAAAUGGGUUUGAAUGGAAGCAUAGUACGUUAAAUUGUAUUCUUAAAAGCAAAGUAAUUGCUCCAAUCGCAUGUUUAGAUGCUCCAGCAAGAGCAGCUGUACAAAAUCUAAUGUAUUACAAUGGAGAGUACGGUUGUUCAAGCUGUGAAAUAAAAGGUUUGAGUAGUGAAACUGGUGCUGGCUCAAAUUGGGUAUUCCCAAUAUCUUCUGAGCAGCCGCACCUAUGAA